rnacentral:lncRNA from 1 species
UCCGCACCCAGCCCCGGAAUCAACCACAUCACGUCCUUCUCUUGAGACUUUCCCUUCUCUCAGUCACGGAAAUAUGUCCAGGCCUACCGGUAUAAACUAAGAAGAAUCUGAAAAGUUGAGUUGAAACAAUUCCCGUGGCAGCAGGGUGGAAGAGGAAAAAGACCCCAGGGGCAUGUGUCAUAACAGAGGGAAGGCCCGUUUGCUCAGCAGAUCAGAUGACUUCUCUGGUGACCCAGCCUUCUAUGAUUUUUCCCUAGGUCAAUUUCAGGAAGAGGUACAAGCACAAUCAACUGAAGACAUGUGACCACAAACCACCUCUGAUUUCACUGCUUCCAGAAUGUGCAAGAUUAUCUACAACAAAGUAAUUGAAGAAAUAAAGCAACGUCCUGAAAGAGUUCA